rnacentral:snoRNA from 1 species
GAGCGUUGUUCAUAACCUAACAGCCUGCCUAUGACUGAUAGGUACCGUUCUAGGGCUAUAGCAACUCUAGUGACACGUGACUUGAUAGAGUUUUCAGUUUCAGGUCUUGGAGGCAUAU